UUACGGCCAUAUCAUGUUGAAAAAACGAUUCUCGUCCGAUCGCCGAAGUUAAGCAACGUCGUGCCUGGUUACUACCUAGAUGGGGUACCGCUUGUGAAUAACAGGUACUGUAU